rnacentral:rRNA from 1 species
CCCUUAGAUGUUCUGGGCCGCACGCGCGCUACACUGAUUCAUGUACUAAGUAUAUAACCUUGGUAGAAAUGCUUGGGUAAUCUUUGAAACUGAAUCGUGCUGGGGAUUGGAGCUUGUAAUUAUUCUCCAUGAACGAGGAAUUCCUAGUAAACGCGAGUCAUCAGCUCGCAUUGAUUACGUCCCUGCCCUUUGUACACACCGCCCGUCGCACCUACCAAUUGAAUGGUCCGGUGAAAUCUUCGGACCGGGCGAUAGUCAGCAAUGACCGUUGCCUGGAAAGUUGCUUAAACCUUACCAUUUAGAGGAAGGUGAAGUCGUAACA